AAUUUACAGUUCCUUGUAUGGUAUGAUCCAUUGGAAUUCAAUUGGUUGUAUGGUAAAUAAUACAAUCUAUUGUACUUUUAUUGUAGAUUUUUCACGGUUGUAAAAAUCCUUUAUUGUACUUACUUUAAAAGUACAAUACAUUUAAAUGUGACCGAUACAUUCUAUAAUAUUUUAGUUGUUCGCUUAUGUUUUUUAUUGCUCAUCCAAAAAUUAAACAAAUUAUAAAAGUAUUCCAUCUCGGUGAUCAGAUAAUCCGUUUUAAAGAAAAUAAAAAUAUAAUUUUAGAAUAUUUCAUUGAUUCAUUAUGUUGAUGGAAUAACAAUUGAAAACAAUAAAAUAACAAUAACUUUCAUUGUUACAUGAAAAUUCUACCGAUUUUCAAAUAUAUGUUUUAAUUGCAGGUCUUGAAAUAUUCAUGUUCUGAUCAAUUUAAAUUUAAAAAUUCAAAGGAACAAAAUCAUUCACUUUUAAUUUUACUUGGAGAAUGACUGGAUUUAGAUGAGCGUGUACAAUUUUGUUUGUGAUUAGUGAGAAGACGAAGUAAACGAAGUGUUCCUUUUAUAAUCGUCUAUCUGGUACAAAGUUAGUACGCUUUUUAUAUCGAAGUUGGAUUUUCUCCAAAUACAGAUCCAGAUACAGAUUUUCUCCCAACUUCGGAAGUAGUGCGCUGGAUUCGCCUAAAGAUGCGCUAAACAACACAUCAAUUAGUUUGACAGAUAAAAUUUUGGAAGAAAGUUCGGUUCGGAAGUCCCGACUUCCGAAUUCUAAGUUGAUGCUACGCCGACAAUACUGAUUCUGCGAGCAAGCAACGGCCGAUCAUUUCCCGCUGUACCGUGAAAUUGAGUUAAUGAUAAAACACUGCUGCAUGCCACCAUCACUGAAGAUUCAAUAUCGUUCGGCGACUAUCAUCGAGCUAUAUCACCAACGGGAUACAAUAAAAAAUUAAACAGGAAAAAAAAUGCGAGCAGCAUUAGUUACAGCGGCUUCAGUGAGUAUAGCUGGUUGCAUCAUGGCGACUGAAAUCUACGUUUAUGAAUCCCGGUCUGAAUAGCAGUUAACGCACUUAACAAUACCACUAAUAAUUUUAAUUUUAAUUCGAACACAAAUUGAACUAAAAUCAAAUUGAAAUUAAAUUAAAGCUGAACUGAAUUUAAUUAAAACUGAAGUAGAAUUAUCUUAAAAAUAUAUUAAAAAUGAAACAAAAUUUAAAUUUACUGAUUACAAA